CAGCCGUAAACUAUGCGCGUUAGGUGUAUCGGUGACCACGAGUUACCGAGGUGCCGAAGGGAAACCGUGAAACGUGCCGCCUGGGAAGUACGGUCGCAAGGCUGAAACUUAAAGGAUUGGCGGGGAGCACCACAACAGGUGGAGCCUGCGGUUUAAUUGGACUCAACGCCGGGAAGCUCACCGGAUAAGACAGCGGAAUGAUUGCCGGGCUGAAGACUCUGCAUGACUAGCUGAGAGGAGGUGCAUGGCGUAGACGUCU
rnacentral:rRNA from 1 species